UUUUGAUAAAUCUCCCCGAUAGUUAUCACAAUACAACAUCUGUACUGAGACCCAUCAUCAUCCUCAUUGAUGCUGUACAAUAAUGUACAAAACAGGGGACAGGACAUAGACAUUAGUACAGUAACCCCCCGACCUGCGAUGGCCCCAACAUAUGAUAAAAUCAACAUACGAUGGCCUCUCAGAGGCCAUCGCAUGUCGAUGUCAGCAUCGACAUACAAUGCUUUUAUAUGUCGGGGCCAUCGCAUUAAUUGCUAUCCGACAGUGCAAAAUGCUUAAGCUGCUGUCGGAUAGCAGUUUAAGCAUCCCGGGCAGGUUCGCUUACCUAUUCCCGGUGCGCCGGCGCAGCAGCGUAAUAACGUCACCAGAAAGCGAGGCCCGGACCCUGCAGAAGAUGCGGAAGAAGCAAGAGAAUCGCGAAGAAGACACCGGAGCAGCGGGACAGCAUCGGGAGCCCCUUGGACAGCAUCGGGAGCGGUGAGGACCUGGUCCAGAGCGGUGGGGACAAUACAGCGGGGCCAUAAAAUGAUGGUUGUGAAGGUGUCCAUACCCUUUAAUGAAGAAUACUGGGUGUUACUCAUGUCGGAUCCUGCACACGCAUAAUCGAGGCUCCUCAGGAAACAGCAGGUAUAGGAAUUGCCUACCAGACCUACUCUUUGCCAAUAAAUAUGAGUCAGCACUCCAACACCGGAGCCAAUUCGUAGGGAUUUUCCUUUGGGCUUCAGGCUUCCAUGGCUACCCUACUGCUUUAGCAAUAUGGCUCAGAGCCUGAAAGGAGGAUUUACAUUUUAUAACAUCACUAAAUGAUUGACAUUAUUAAGUUGCGAGCAAAGUGCGUGCUGAGACUAUUGACAGUGGUUGAAACCUGGUCGCAUUCCAUGUAGGAACACCCUGACUAUCCAGCCAGCCAGCCUGGAGGAACGAUUUGAUCAUAAAACCAUAUAAUGAUAUUGUUAUUACUUGAGAAUUGAGCGUGUUGUUACAGCCAUACCAUCACUCCUGUUAAUUGUGCUCAAUGGGAUCAGCACUCUAUUUGCUUAGUAAGUAUAAGCCACGGGAUGGUGUAAAACGUAUUAUAUCUUUAAUCUAUACCUGACAGAUUAUCACUCCGCAACACACGUCGAGUUGAUCUACGCAGACGGCAACGCAACUCAUGCAGGAACGACAGCCAGGUGUUAACACGUUGUCUCAAAUUAACGUCUUAUAAAAAUGAAACAAAGAUGAAGAAUUUCACUCUUCUGUGCAAUGGCUCCUUAAGUGAUAUGGAAACUAUAGAGCAUCAGGUUACUUGGUAAAUCCGCACUAAAGAUUUUUGAUGACAACAGGGCAUGCGAAAAAUCACUUAAAAAGUAACCGUGUUGUGGCUCACAACUUCUCCCCCCCUUCCCGUACUAUUCCUGUUCAUUGUGGAUGGAAGGAGGAGGCUUUUCUAUAGUACGUAAAAGUAAAGGAAUGACAGACAUAAAACGCUCACAGGUAACGACUUUGUGCGUGUUAUACAUUCACUCAAAAUCCAUCAGGGAGGUCCCAGUCUUGUGCCUUAGUGAAUGGAACAGCACUUACUGUACGCGGACAGCGAGCCCCAAUUCAGGAGGAGCGAAAUCCAAUGAGAUGCACUUACAGAGAGUUUCAAGACUGUCACCAUUGUAAAAUUAACCCUUUAAAAUCUUGACCCUUCCAAGGCAACCUGAGUGUUUUAUCCUUGCAUCGGUGACCAUGCAAAUCCUCCCCCAUAGACUAUAAUGAACAGGUGUGUGUUCUUAUCUUCUGCGCUUUGUAUUAUACUGGACAAAAAAGUCAAUUGCUAAUUUUUAUAUUAGUUUCUAUGGUGAAUAUAAUGGAUGCAAAAAUACUAUUGUAUAAAGCCUUGAAGUCUUCUCUCACUGGUAGAUGAAGUCCAAUAUGUACUGGCCAAAAUUGUCCCUGGCUAAUAUGGUGGGAAUGUCUGUGCUGGGAUGGUGCGCCAGGGGGUAUUGUGCUCUCUCUUAUGUUAUGAGACGGA